AUACCAUUCGAAUUCGGGUGCUGCCAACUCGUUUUAAAGUAUUUUUAUGUGGUAUUUUUAGAUUUUAGGUACAUUUUAGAAGCAUGUCAAAAUUUAAAAAUAAAAAAAAACGAAUAACAAAAAUAAAAAACCCACGAAACGGAAAGCGUUGUAAAAAUACCAAAAUUCAACAAUUUCCUUUUGGAUUUGUGGAUGGACAACAUUGGAGGGUUUCGUGCAGAUCGCAAGAAUCAUUUUGUCUUACCGAAUAGUGAAAUGAACAGAUUAAGUAUGUCUGCUAGUUAUCUUAUACUGCAAAGGAAAUUUUUCCAGAACUUUUCUCUAAGUUGGAGUUUUUCUUUCUGGUGUAGCUGUCCUAGGAAAUAUAAUUUUGUACUACUAAAAUUAA